rnacentral:rRNA from 1 species
UACGGAAGGGGCAAGCGUUGUUCGGAAUUAUUGGGCGUAAAGGGCGCGUAGGCGGUUUUGUUUGUCCGCUGUGAAAGUCCACGGCUCAACCGUGGAGAGUCGGCGGAAACGGCAAGACUUGAGGCUGGGAGGGGUUGGUGGAAUUCCCUGUGUAGCGGUGAAAUGCGUAGAUACGGGGGAGAACACUCGUGGCGAAGGCGGCCAGCUGGCCCAGUCCUGACGCUGAGGCGCGACAGCGUGGGGAGCAAACAGG